UGCCAGCCGCCGCGGUAAUACGUAGGGUGCAAGCGUUGUCCGGAUUUAUUGGGUUUAAAGGGUGCGUGGGUGGUUUGGUAAGUCUUGGGUGAAAGUCUGCAGCUCAACUGUAGAAUUGCCUGAGAUACUGUCAAACUUGAGUAUGGUUGAGGUAGCUGGAAUUGGUGGUGUAGCGGUGAAAUGCAUAGAUACCACCAGGAACACCGAUUGCGAAGGCAGGUUACUAAGCCAUAACUGACACUGAUGCACGAAAGCGUGGGGAGCGAACAGGAUUAGAUA
rnacentral:rRNA from 1 species